AGGGGUGUAGCUCAGCUGGUAGAGCAUCGGUCUCCAAAACCGAGUGUCGUGGGUUCGAGUCCUGCCACCCCUGCCA
rnacentral:tRNA from 1 species